rnacentral:misc_RNA from 1 species
GAACUGCGAUAAGUAAUGUGAAUUGCAGAAUUCAGUGAAUCAUCGAGUCUUUGAACGCACAUUGCGCCCCCUGGCAUUCCGGGGGGCAUGCCUGUCCGAGCGUCAUUGCUGCCCUUCAAGCCCGGCUUGUGUGUUGGGUCGUCGUCCCCUCCGGGGGACGGGCCCGAAAGGCAGCGGCGGCACCGCGUCCGGUCCUCGAGCGUAUGGGGCUUUGUCACCCGCUCGAUAAGGACCGGCCGGGCGCCAGCCGGCGUCUCCAACCUUUUUUUCCCAGGUUGACCUCGGAUCAGGUAGGGAUACCCGCUGAACUUAAGC